GAUGAACGCUGGCGGCGUGCCUAAUACAUGCAAGUCGAGCGAACGGACGAGAAGCUUGCUUCUCUGAUGUUAGCGGCGGACGGGUGAGUAACACGUGGAUAACCUACCUAUAAGACUGGGAUAACUUCGGGAAACCGGAGCUAAUACCGGAUGAUAUUUUGAACCGCAUGGUUCAAAAGUGAAAGACGGUCUUGCUGUCACUUAUAGAUGGAUCCGCGCUGCAUUAGCUAGUUGGUAAGGUAACGGCUUACCAAGGCAACGAUGCAUAGCCGACCUGAGAGGUGGAUCGGCCACACUGGAACUGAGACACGGUCCAGACUCCUACGGGAGGCAGCAGUAGGGAAUCUUCCGCAGUGGGCGAAAGCCUGACGGAGCAACGCCGCGUGAGUGAUGAAGGUCUUCGGAGCGUAAAACUCUGUUAUUAGGGAAGAACAUAUGUGGAAGUAACUGUGCACAGCGUGACGGUACCUAAUCAGAAAGCCACGGCUAACUACGUG
rnacentral:rRNA from 1 species